rfam:Euryarchaeota archaeon RBG_13_31_8 RBG_13_scaffold_397, whole genome shotgun sequence.
UUGAGGAUUUGGCAACAAAUUCUGACCUUAUCAAGGAGUCAGCAGAGGCCAUAGUAGCCAAAGGCCUUUCCUAACCGGAAGGACAGGGUGAAGGGC